rnacentral:rRNA from 1 species
AGAAUCAACGCUGGCGGCGUGCCUAACACAUGCAAGUCGCACGAGAAAGGGACUUCGGUCCUGAGUACAGUGGCGCACGGGUGAGUAACACGUGAAUAAUCUACCUCCGAGUGGGGAAUAACUGAGAGAAAUCUUAGCUAAUACCGCAUAACACUUACGAGUCAAAGCAGCAAUGCGCUUGGAGAGGAGUUCGCGGCAGAUUAGUAGUUGGCGGGGUAAUGGCCCACCAAGACGAUGAUCUGUA